AUCUAGCUGACGAGUCCCAAACAGGAAGAAACACACGUCUUGGAU
rfam:Schistosoma haematobium scaffold3066_1, whole genome shotgun sequence.